rnacentral:rRNA from 1 species
UACGUAGGGUCCGAGCGUUGUCCGGAAUCAUUGGGCGUAAAGCGCAUGUAGGCGGCCAUGUGAGUCGAAUGUGAAAUCCCGAGGCUUAACCUCGGAACGGCAUUCGGUACUGCAUGGCUUGAGGAAGGUAGAGGAGAGUGGAAUUCCCGGUGUAGCGGUGGAAUGCGCAGAUAUCGGGAGGAACACCAGCGGCGAAGGCGGCUCUCUGGGCCUUUCCUGACGCUGAGAUGCGAAAGCGUGGGUAGCGAACAGGAUUAGAAACCCGGUAGUCC